UACGGGGGGGGCAAGCGUUGUUCGGAAUUACUGGGCGUAAAGGGCUCGUAGGCGGCCAACUAAGUCACACGUGAAAUCCCCAGGCUUAACCUGGGAACUGCGUGUGAUACUGGAUGGCUUGAAUUCGGGAGAGGGAUGCAGAAUUCCAGGUGUAGCGGUGAAAUGCGUAGAUAUCUGGGGGAAUACCGGUGGCGAAGGCGGCAUCCUGGACCGACAUUGACGCUGAACGGCGAAAGCUAGGGGAGCAAACGGG
rnacentral:rRNA from 1 species